rnacentral:rRNA from 1 species
AUCCCAUUCGGAUUGCAGGCUGCAACCCGCCUGUAUGAAGUUGGAAUCGCUAGUAAUCGCGGAUCAGCAUGCCGCGGUGAAUACGUUCCCGGGCCUUGUACACACCGCCCGUCACACCAUGAGAGUCGGGAACACCCGAAGUCCGUAGCCUAACCGCAAGGAGGGCGCGGCCGAAGGUGGGUUCGAUAAUUGGGGUGAAGUCGUAACAAGGUAGC